GGUUCUAUAGUCUAGCGGUUAGGACAUUCGGUUCUGACUAAAAAUUAUUUCCGAAUAGCCUGGGUUCGAUUCCCAGUAGGACCU
rfam:Protomyces lactucaedebilis strain 12-1054 BCR37scaffold_19, whole genome shotgun sequence.